AUUGAACGCUGGCGGCAGGCCUAACACAUGCAAGUCGAGCGAGCGGCGGACGGGUGAGUAAUGUAUGGGCAACUGCCCGAUGGAGGGGGAUCACUACUGGAAACGGUAGCUAAUACCGCAUACUAUCGGAUGGGUCCAGAUGGGAUUAGCUAGUAGGUGGGGUAAAGGCUCACCUGGGCGACGAUCCCUAGCUGGUCUGAGAGGAUGCACAGUCACACUGGAACGAAGACACGGUCCAGCCUCCUACGGGAGGCAGCAGUGGGGAAUAUUGCACAAUGGGCGCAAGCCUGAUGCAGCCAUGCCGCGUGUGUGAAGAAGGCCUUCGGGUUGUAAAGCACGUUCAGCGGGGAGGCGUUACCCGCAGAAGAAGCACCGGCUAACUACGUGCCAGCAGCCGCGGUAAUAC
rnacentral:rRNA from 1 species